CAACCAUAUCAAGGUUUGCGGACUUGUUAUGAGACAACAUCAGAUUUAAAAAAAAUAUAUAUGCAUUUGUUUACAUGUUUAAAUGGGAGCAACAUUGAUUCACAGUCUGUACACAAGUAGGUACUCACGAGGCUGCUUUGCCGGCUCAAUAUUCAAUUUGCUAUAUAUGUGUAGCAUCAACAAGAAAAUAUGAAGAAAAGGGUAGCGAUCCGGGUAUUUAGUGUUAUACUUGUUCAGUUUGUAAUAAGCGACAAGUAAACGUCAAUAAAAUAAAUGCGUUGAAACUUUAAAUUAAAAAAUGUAUAAGCAGUUAAGGUGGUAAUUACACGAAAACCUAAUGAAAAAUUCAUCAUGACAACACCGUUAAAAAGGGGAAAUGCGGAAUAGUACCAUUGUAGUAAGGGGAAAUGUAAACAAGGCGCAGUCGUCGGGCCCGGUGUUUCGACAUUUUGACUGAUUAUUUUCAUUUUUGGGUAAUUUACGCCUAAGAGUGAUUAAUUAGAGUUCAUCAAGAAUUUAAAACAAGAAGAAAUGGUGCCAAAUUGGUUUAUGUGUGGGAAAAAUAAGAUCAAUUUCCCCAACCACUCUUUGCACAACAUCCCUAGGAAGGCGAUUCGAAGAGGCGAAUGGAUAAGAGCUCUUGGAUUGCAAUUAUACGAGGUUUCAGUGAAAAAUCUACUUAUUUGCUCUGACCAUUUUAAAGAACAUCACUUUUAUUAUGGGAGAAAUGGAAAAAGAUAUUUAAAAUGUGACGCUACACCUACAGCUGAAGUAAUUUAUAGACGGUAAAUAAAUGCUAUAGAGCAUUACAAUAUAAUCGAAUACUAAUGGAAAUAUAGAGAAGGGCCGAUCCAGGGGGGUCAUGGGGCUCAUGACCCCCCUUCCCCCUUUAUGCUGGGGACUACUUCGUUCUUGUCAUCAAUUAUUUGUGGGUCAUUGUUAUAAAUAUCUUAAUAGUUCCGUUACAUUUAUAUAAAUGUAUAUAUAAAUUGUUCUAAUAGUUACUAACCGUUAUCUCUGAGUUGUAGUAUAAGUUAAUAAAGAAACAUAUAUAUGGUU